UUGAACGCUGGCGGCAGGCCUAACACCUGCAAGUCGAGCGGAUGAAGGGAGCUUGCUCCUGGAUUCAGCGGCGGACGGGUGAGUAAUGCCUAGGAAUCUGCCUGGUAGUGGGGGAUAACGUCCGGAAACGGGCGCUAAUACCGCAUACGUCCUGAGGGAGAAAGUGGGGGAUCUUCGGACCUCACGCUAUCAGAUGAGCCUAGGUCGGAUUAGCUAGUUGGUGGGGUAAAGGCCUACCAAGGCGACGAUCCGUAACUGGUCUGAGAGGAUGAACAGUCACACUGGAACUGAGACACGGUCCAGACUCCUACGGGAGGCAGCAGUGGGGAAUAUUGGACAAUGGGCGAAAGCCUGAUCCAGCCAUGCCGCGUGUGUGAAGAAGGUCUUCGGAUUGUAAAGCACUUUAAGUUGGGAGGAAGGGCAGUAAGUUAAUACCUUGCUGUUUUGACGUUACCAACAGAAUAAGCACCGGCUAACUUCGUG
rnacentral:rRNA from 1 species